rnacentral:lncRNA from 1 species
GUACACCGUGUAACGUAGAGAUUGAAGAAACAAUGGAGAUGAGUAAGGAUAAUUAAAUGGUUUAAUUAUUAACGGCAAGGAUUAAUUAAUAUGUUAAUUAAUCAAACAAAUAAAGUUCGUCAAAGACCUCGGGUUAGUUUUGGGCCACAAGGCCCAAUGGGAUUUGAAUGUCAAGCCCAUCAACUCAACUUGUAUGACAACUUGAAUAAACGAAAGGCUAGAAAGCCCAAUAAACCCUUAAGGCCGGCCAAAUAGAGGAGGGUAGUGAACUUGCUUUAAUUGCAAAUUUGCCACUCUAUUAUGAGGUGGUAUAAAGGCAACUUUAUAGCCAUUUCAUCCUUAGGGGUUUCUUUUAGAGAAAAUAUGAGAACACAAUGCUCUCCUUUUCUCUCUAAGAGGCCGGCCCCCUUGGAGGAGAUUAGCUAGCAAUAUCUCAUCCUCCAAGGUCACUCAUCUCUGCUUCAAGUCCCUCCUUGGUGUGAAAAAAAUAGAGGUUCUCAAUUUUGGGAACUUGGAGAAUCCUUUCUACCAUCCUCCUCCAAGAAAUCGAUGGAACUAAGAAGCAAGGAAUAAAGGGCCUCUCCUUGGGUGAUUAGCCUUUGCUUAUGCAAAGAGGAAUCAACAAAGGUAUAAAAUAUCUCAACUCACUUUGUUCUUGAGUUGAGUCUUGGUUCACCUUUUCUACUAGGCUUUGAAUUUCAUGGGUAAUGUUUUGUUUUUGAGUGCAUACAAGCACGAUUCCACCUUUAAAUGUUAAUUGCAUGCUAUAGAUGUUGCUCAAAUGAACAUGUUUUUCAUAAAAUUUCCUUCAAGUGGUAUCAAGAGCCUAGGUCUAGUAGUUGGUGAAUCCUUUUGGGUUUUGUAGUUCAUAGUCUUUGAUUUGAAUGUUGUAAUUGUUACAAGCUUUAUUCUUGCUUCUUUGAAUGUAAAUUUUGUUAGAAAAUUUGCCAUCUCAAAUGUUGUAGAUGUAGUUCAUAUGAGCAUGAAGUUUGGAGCUAAAUUUUGGUGCUUUGUUUUUGGGAAAUUCGGCCAAAUCCAAAGGGUGGAUUUUUGGGUUCAUGUUUGUCUUGUUAAAAGUGUUUUAAGUGACAUUAGGAACCCCUAAGUACCCUAGUAUGGUAAUAUGUUUUUUCCCUUAAGUUUGAGAGUUUUUGGGGUGUCUUUGGGUGAAAAAUGUUCAUGGAGCUCUUAUGGGUUUUCAUGGAUGUUCUUCAUUGUUCUUGUUAUGUUUUUGGCAAGAACAAAAAGGUUGGGUAUUUUGAUUCAAAUUUUUGGUUGUUUACAUAAAGUUUUUGUUUGUGAUGGAUGGUUUAAAUUUUCAAUAAAUACCCAUACCAAUCACUUACACCUUUUCCUUGUUUCAAGAAACCAUGUUUUAUGGAAACCUAAUUUUUCAAACCAACCCAUCACCUUUUCAACCCAUCACCUUUAACUUUUGUUAAAAAAUUCAAAAGUGUUAUGACACCUCUCACCUACCAAAACCAGCCAACCCUACAAGUAGGGUACUUUUAGGGCUUUUAUGCAAUUACAUAAAGUUUUGAUACUUUUGUGUAUUUGUACUUUAACCCGAAAGUUUACGUUUUUACGUAAAGGCCCAAAAUCACUAAAGGACAAAUUGUUUUGCUCCUUUAAUGAUGUUUUUGUAUUUGAUGAAAUUUUUGGGUUCUAGUUGUAAUUACAUGAAGUAGUGGACUUUUGUGUUCUUACAAAGUGACCUCAAAAGUUUGUGUUUUGUAACAUAGCCCAAAAAGUUGAGGUUAUUGCAUUUGGCCCAAAUUAGUUGAGAACAAAAUAGUUUUGUAUCUUUAAAUGAGAAUUGGAUUUUCAUUUCAUUUAGUUCCAUUUAAAUCAAUUCUAUGGAAACCAAAACCAAAUGAAAAUGUUGCAUUCAAGUUUAAUUAGUUAAAGUGUUAAUUAAUUAAAGAAAGGGUGAUUAUGAACCUAAGCUUACGAUAAUUGAGCUAUGUGAAGGGCCUUCUCAAAUUUGUUUGAACCAUGGGAAUGAGUAGAUUAGAUUUUGGUUGUAAUUUGAUAUGAUCAAAUGUUGUAAAAGAGCAUAAGCUCUUCUUUACUUUGAAGUACUCCUUUCUUGUUUUAUUUGAUAUGCAUGAAAUUAGUAGUUGUGUCCAACGCCUAAUAGGAAAAACAUGCCUAAAUAUGAUUAAACGCGUAACUAAAAUCAAUCACCAUCCCUAGACCGAGAUCCAACACUAGGCUCGUGUUGGAUCUAAUCAAAGGUUCAUAGUCAUCCUAAGGCCCUAAGGCAACUAUAUAGUCCAUCAAUCAAUGCAAAUCUUAUGUUAGUAGUACCAUAUACUCUUGCUUUAAAACCGUUUUACAAGCAUAGUGGGAGUAUUAUGUACAACUAAAUCAAUCACAUGAACCAAUAGUUGUAAUAGGACCAAAUUGUUUUAAUAAGAUUAGAAUGCAUGCUUAUAUGUGAUGAGACCUAAAACCCUCAACCAAACCAUUAUUAAGUUGAUAAGCGUGAGAGUGCUUUGAACACUCUUUCGUGGCCUUCCACCGUGGUAGGCUCCGAUAGUUUGUGACUCGUACACCAACUUCACCCUAUCAUGGGGGAGUACAAAGUGCGUGCUUACACUCAAGAGGAGUUCUAUAUGCAUACAUGAUGUUGUGAAGGUAGGCAACGAGAAUGAUCAACAUCAUAUCAUUGUGAGGUUGUUCUUGAACCCCUACUCGAACUUGCAUGGUGGAAAUGACUUAACUAAGUGCAAUGAAGCCAACAUCAUAUCAUUGUGAGGCUUCAUUCUCUAGAGGCCAAAUAAGAUGGGUACUUGCUGUUGGAAAUAUGCCCUGAAAGUCAAUCUUUGGAAGAAAUCUUUCAGGACAAAUGAAUCGAUGUA